UUAAUACUUAUGCAACGAUUUCUGCCAUACACUAAGACGCCCAUAAUAGGCUCAUGUAGUUUAAGUCUGUACCUGAACCACUCAAAGAAAUGAUAACAAAACUAAUACUAAUAGGUCAAUGAUCACCUUGAGAUAAUUUAUGAAUGUAUUUCCAUCUACUAUGUAUGCUAAUAAUUUGUUAUGUAUAACAAAGAUUGCAUGGAAUUGAACUGUUGGUGACGGUGAGGUCGUCUUACUGGAAGUGACGGUCAGGUUGUCUAACUGGAAGUGAAACUGUUGGUGCUGUUCUGCAUUCUGAUAAUGUUGGUUGGCAGGGUGAGGGAUCAGAAGAUGGAUGGCGGGGGCGUUUGAGUUGUAUUGGCAGGGCCCUCAUGUAGACGCUGGACGAGAUGGCGCUUAGCCCCGAGCUCGCUGUCAGUCUCCAAGUACAGUUCGACGAGGUCUGUUGAUUAUUUUUCAUCUUGGUCUUCUUGUUUCUUUCAGUCCAUGAGCGCUGGACCACUAGCUCAAGAGCAAGGCCUUCUUCAAGGUACCAAACAGGUUGCCACCUCUCUUUCUUGUGCCACAUAUUCAUCACUACACUGUACAUAUUCCAAGGGAACAAUGAUGAAAUAACGUGAUGUUGUUACAUGUUGGUGUAACUGUACUGAUGCAGAUCAGCUACAGAUCUUUCAUAUCUUCUGUUGGAUGCCAUGAUGACUUCUGUGCUUAAUUAUGAAGUAAGUUACUCGACAGCCCAUUUGUUUUCCAAGUCGCUUCAGGGAAUUGUUCUUUUGGGAUCAUAUUUCUUUGCAAAAAGUAACAUCAACUUGCUUAAUGGCCACAUAUGGCAGUUGCUUCAACUUCUGGACAAGACACACAGACAUGCAACUGUGUGACAACUUAAAGUCUUUUGGGGGAUUUUGAUAACAAAAGUAGAGCAUUACCACUCAAAAGGAUGACUAAUUAAUUAAUCCAUCCAAUCCAAGCAUCAGAAAAGUAGAGCAUUACUGUUCAAAGGGAUGACUAAUUAAUUAACCUCUUAAUUUAUUUUUACAGGAAUUAACCAGAUAGUAUCUGCUUGAAUAAGUUUGAAGUAGCUACUAUUUAUAAAAUGUAGUGGCAUGUAGAAAUUGAGCAAGCGAAGCUGUGGUAGGUUAUGCGCCAUGCUUAUUAGGAUAAGGGUGUGAGAUACUAUUUUCCUCUUGCUAGUAUAGUUUAAGUCUGUAACCUGAACCCCUCAAAAAGCGGUAAAAAAACUAAUACUAACCGAUCAAUGAUGAUCUUGAUAUAGGUUAUGGAUGUAUUUCCAUCUACUAUGUAUAACAUAAAUUGCAUGGCCUUCAACCUUUGUAAGUGACUUAUAACCUGCCUCUCUCACUACUUGCAUGAUGUCAGUUCAUUGUGUGUUAACAAUUCAUUUUGUUAUUUUCUUUGUAGAUUCAAUCAAAAGAUAUAUGGAUGAUUCUAUGGUUUGUGGCAAGUAUACUGCAAUGAUGAUGAUGAUGUUCCCGUUGAUGAUGAUGAUGAUGUUCCCGUUGAUGAUGAUGAUGAUGAUGGAUGCCUUCAGUUUUAGUUUGUAGUGAUGUUGUUCCUGUUGUAUGAUGUUCUUCGGUUAAGUUUUAGUUAAUUCUAGUUGAUGGAUUAUUGUCGGUUUAAGUUUCACUCUCAAGAAAAUAUUUAGAUUAUGGAUCACAUUGGGAUGAUGUUCCUCCUAUAAUAUCCACUAUUGUAAUCCAACAGUUUUAUUCAAUAUAUGAUCUCU
rnacentral:lncRNA from 1 species